GCUCUCAGCUUAUUAGUUUUAAUCUUCAUUUUCUUGUUAAUCUCAUUCAUUAUGUGUGAUUUGCUUGUUACCUUAGUCUUCAGUUUCAAGUUACACAACUUCAUAUAUGUGCUCUAGGUUUGCACGUUCUUAGAAGCUGUAUUUGCUUGUUGGGUUUCUAGGAGCAAGAGGAUGAUACUUUUACUGAGUAAGAGGUAUGUGUCUCAUGGGGCGUCUCUCACGGCAUGGCAAGCCACGUGGACAAGAAUUGGAUUUGCUGUCCUUUUGCCAAUUCAGUUUCGAGGUUGAAGAGCUUAAUUUGCCAAUCAUUUCUUCAGUAUUAUCUGUGCCUACCUGCACAGUUUCUCACUAUGGGGUCUUUAUGCCAGUUUUUCCUAAAACCAUUGAGAAUUUUGCAGAUCAACACAUUGUGUUGGAGUGGUACAUGAUUUCAUCAAGAAAGAGAGAGGUACUGAAAAGUAGUAGGAUGAGACGGGGUCACAUGCCUGUGCUGAGAUGGAAGGAGGAACAAUAGGAUAAUACUUUUACGGACCAUGUAUCUGCUACACCAUCGGCUCCGCCUAUGACGCCUUGUGUGCACUCUUUUAUGCAAGACAUUGACGACCUUGAACACAAGCACACAUGGUGGUUUCUCACCGCUGCACCGCCACUCAGUUGAAUGUUUUUUCCACCACAGAAAUCGUAUAAGCUGGACAUGCAUUUCCUAACUUGGUAUAGUUUUUUGGUUACUAAGAUGUGAUAAGUCAAGCCAGAGAUCUCAGGAAAUGCUUCUCCCCUAGUAUUUUGGUCACUUUCUCUGUGUUGAUUUCGUUUCUCACUCUUCUUCAUUUUCACUCUUUUCUGAUCAUAGGAAACAAGCCAGCACAGUCUGAUCCUGCGGGUAUUAGGAUGUAAGAAGGCAAGCAGGGAAAGUCUGAUGCAAGAUAACUUUUUGGGGGAGUUGUACAUGAUUUUGGAUCUAGAAUGAAGAAACAUGGUUCUGGCAUAUUAGUUGUCUGACAUCAGCCACGGUAAUUAAUUUAGCAUUCGGGGAUUUCAAAGAUCUUGAGCUAACAAUGGUCGUGAGGUGCGGAUCUCAUAUUUUAUAGUCCGCUAAGCAAGCCACAUGUGGAGCAGCGGCUGUAGCGG